rnacentral:rRNA from 1 species
GACGAACGCUGGCGGCGUGCUUAACACAUGCAAGUCGAACGGAAAGGCCCUGCUUUUGUGGGGUGCUCGAGUGGCGAACGGGUGCGUAACACGUGAGUAACCUGCCCUUGACUUUGGUAUAACUUCAGGAAACUGGGGCUAAUACCGGAUAGGAGCUCCUGCUGCAUGGUGGGGGUUGGAAAUUUUCGGCGGUUGGGGAUGGACUCGCGGCUUAUCAGCUUGUUGGUGGGGUAGUGGCUUACCAAGGCUUUGACGGGUAGCCGGCAUGAGAGGGUGACCGGCCACAUUGGGACUGAGAUACGGCCCAGACUCCUACGGGAGGCAGCAGUGGGGAAUAUUGCACAAUGGGCGGAAGCCUGAUGCAGAAACGCCGCGUGCGGGAUGACGGCCUUCGGGUUGUAAACCGCUUUAGCCUGUGACGAAGCGUGAGUGACGGUAAUGGGUAAAGAAGCACCGGCUAACUACGUG